rnacentral:lncRNA from 1 species
UGUGUUCAUUUUUUAUAAAACAUUUUCCUUUAUAGCUUAGCUAGAAUUAGUCAUGAACCAGAACAAUAUUCAUGGCCUGUGUUACUGUUCACAUUUUUCUGAUAUGAUUAUGUGUAAUAUGAGCAGGAUAAAGAAGCCGGUGAUGACCCAGACAUCCAAGAUAUCUUAAAAGCAUGCUGCUCAUGAAGAAAGAAGUGAGGGAACCCCUCUUUUGCUGCUAUAUUUGUCUUGCUUUGUGAAGUGUGAUACUCUCAGGGGCAUUGUAUAUUGUAUCUGCUUCUUGCACUGAGAAGUAGCUUUGUCUUGAGGUUCAGUUAUAAGAUUACCUGUUAUGCAAGGCUAUGUUUUGAAAUGUAUCACUAAUAGCUACUAACUCAUGAAACUGUUGUCUGUUUCAAAAUAUUGUAUAUAAGAUUUUUACAUUUCAAGAGAAAUUGGUUCAAAAUUUAUGUUAAUCAUAUAUGCCUGACUCAUUCAACCUCUUCCCAUUCCUAACCAGUUUUGGGAGGACGUCUCGAUGGAUUUUAUUGGAGGGUUACCGAAAUCCAGCGGGGCAGACACGGUUUUGGUGGUGGUGGAUCGUCUCAGUAAGUAUGCUCAUUUCAUCCCAUUACAUCAUCCGUAUACUUCUAAGGAGGUGGCUUAAGCAUUUGUCAAGGAGGUUAUUCGGUUGCAUGGUUUCCCUAUCUCGAUUGUUUCCGAUCAUGAUCAUGUUUUUAUGAGUAUGUUUGGAAGGAAUUAUUCUGUUUGGCCGGCACUAAACUGCAUUUCAGUUCGGCAUAUCACCCACAAACUGAUGGCCAGACGUAAGUUAUUAAUAGAACACUGAAAACUUACUUACACUGUUUUGUGAAUGAGCACCCUAAACAGUUGAUUAAAUGGUUGGCUUGGGCUGAGUUAUGGUUUAAUUGCUCCUACAAUGCUUCUACUCAUAUGUCUCCUUUUAAGGCUUUGUAUGGUAGAGACUCACAUUCAAUUAUUCCUUUUAGAAAUGAGAGCACUGUUGUGGCUGUUGUGGACAGUUUGCUCCAAGAAAGAGACAGCAUCCUUGAAGAACUCAAGGAAAAUUUGGCUAAAGCUCAACACUGCAUGCAAAUCCAAGUCGAUAAGAAACGAAGAGAAGUAGAGUUUCAGGUGGGAGAUUUGGUGUUUCUAAAGGCUCAACCUUACAAACUUCGUUCAUUAACUCAGGCUCAAUGAGAAGUUAAGUCCCCAUUUUUAUGGCCAUUUUACAGUGCUAGAAAAAAUAGGCAAUGUAGCCUAUAGAUUGCAGCUGCCGGCUUACUCACGGGUGCACCCCAUUUUCCACGUGUCUCAACUCAAAAUAGCACCUUCCUCUAGUGUCCCUUGUCAACAGUUUCCAGCAAGUUUGACGGAGGAUUGGGAAUUACUGGUUGUGCCUGAACAAGUGUUGGCAGGUCGCAAGUUGUUGAAUGGAAAAACUGAAGUCUUAAUUAAAUGGGCUGAACUCCCUGCACAUGAUAAUACUUGGGAGGAUUUCGAGUUAUUAUGGUCAACUUUCCAUGCUUUCCACCUUGAGGACAAGGUGUUGCUCGUUGGGACGGGUAUUGAUGGAGCCCCAAUUAAGAAGGUUUAUCAGAGAAAAAGAAAAGAUGCUCAGGGUAAAGUGGGAACAAGAGCCAAAGAGUUGGUUGCAAAUGCCCCUAACCAAUUGGACACGUGGCAGAUAGAGAAUGGGAGAUCAGAUCCCGAAAUCAGUGAGGGGUGAAUAUGAGGAGAGUGAGGCAAGGGGAAUGAGUAGGCAAUCAUUUGGAUAAGGAAUCAAGGGAAUAUUUCCCAUAUUACUUAUAUUUUUUCUCUUCUGCACUUCUGCUAGGCAAAUACCAUUGUACUUUUGCAGACUAUAAUCUUGUAGCGAAGCUUAUAUACUACCAUUACAGUUUCUCUUUUCUAAUUGUUGUUUCAUUCUCUUAAUUAUAUUCUGGUACCUAUCAGAAUGACACUACCUGAUACCAUUAUUUGUUAUCCCAAAAAAUACUAAUAGAGAAUUCCAACUUCUUUGGCUCUCUUUCCUGCAAAAUUACCAAGCAUGCAAUAUAUGCAUGAACGCAAAGAAUAAAAGACUCAUUUUUUAUGGUACACUAUUACAUCUUAUGCUGCAGCAGACUGCUUCUCUUCAUAAUCAUCAAGAUUAAGAGCAUGAAGUAACUUUGGCCAAGUUUCUGGGAUUCCUCCUGGCAAGUCGAACUCCAAAAGUUUUCCUCUACUACGAUAAAAUUCCUCCACAGGCUGACUCUGGAAUCAUGGAAGAAAACAGGUUUUAAAACAAUUAUAGAUGGCAGGGGUAAAAAACAAAAAAAAGAUAUCAACUUUAAUGGAGAGUAGAACCACAACUUUAUCAAAACUAUCACAAGGCCCCCAUAACUAAGAUAUCAUAUACACAACUUCUAACUCUAGUAGCCAAAUUGCUUUCUUAAGUCCACUACUGAUGAUGAUGAUGAUGAUACAAUAAUAUUAACGGGGUUAAGUACCAUUUCGUUAUAUAUUCGAAGCCUUUCUUUGACCACUGCUUCAGUAUCAUCUGAACGAAUAAUGAGCUUUGACAUGCAAUGUGCGGGAGGAAGAAAUGGAGGCAUGACUGUCCCUGGGCAGCCAUUCUCACCCUUCAUGUUAAUGGAGGCAACAUUAAAAUUUCCUCCACACUGACUGCAAAUUCUCCUGCCAAGGCAUUUCUCAAGCAGCACUUCUUCUUUGGGCUUCAGAUUGACUACCAAGUCAAUGUCAGUUACCCCUUCCAAUAUUUCCUGACCACACAAAAAGGUAAUACAAAUCAAAAAAUUAUACUUCACAUUGUUCACAAAGUUGUUUAUUGUCUUUCUUAUCCCCGAUGACUCGAUAAUUAACAAAAAAAUGCUUCCAAAAAAGUAAACAUGUUACAUUGUUACCAAAUCGUUGCAACUUUAACAGAUAAAAAAGGAUAAAGUUGUUUAGGGAGGACAGAAAACAAAGCUGCUAGUUUGGUUAGUUAGUCUCUGGAAACACAGACAUAUAUUAAUUGAUAUAAAAAAGAACAUUGAGUGAGACCUUGGUUAUUCCAAAAUUUGAGUUUAAUUUUGAUCCAUUGCCAGUUUUAACUAUUUUACAUUAUCAUCCAAAAAUACUUUGUGACAUCAUUAAAAGUGUUUGACCUACGAGGUAGUUGCAAUCAUAAUUUAUAAUGUGGUAAAACAAAUAAAAUAUAAUUAGAUGAUAGUCAAAAAAAUUGAAAGCAUUUCAAAAUUAAAUUUGAAGUAUUUAUGAAGUUUUUGGUGAAAACUGAAAGGCAAUAAAUGGGAAUAAAGGAACCUACAGAAGCUAUAUGGGGAUGGGGGCAACAAUGUAAUUAAAAAAUACUCACCGCUUGCUUUAUUGUUCGAGGAAAACCAUCAAGAAUAAAUCCUGGCUCACGUUUAGCUUCUCCGGCAGCCAGUCUCACUGACAAUAAACUUAUAAUAAUUUCAUCAGACACCAAUUUACCUUGAUUUACAAUUUCUGAUAGCUGUAAGUGUAAGAGACCAAAAAAUUCCAAAUACGAAAACAUCAGAGAUGGUGCAAUGGAGCAUCCUUUUACAAUUAACAUGUAAUUUUCAAUUCAAACUCAUCAGCUCCCAAUAAACAAAUAAAAAUUAUAGCAUGCCAUAAAUACCAUAACUACACAGUAUUAAAAGCUGAAAAUAGAUUAAGAAUAGCAAAACUACCAAUAACUUGUACACUUAAAAAUGAAAAAAAGGAAAAUAAGAAGCAAUCAACACUUCAAUAAUUGGUUGAAUGGAAGGUUGAGGGCUAUUUAUUAGAGUAUACUGAUUUUGUAAAGCCAGUUGUGAUAAAUGGACUGUGUAGUGUAAAUUGUUCAGUUAGCUUCCUUAGUAAGCUAACAGUUCGGUAUUCUGUUAGAUGUAGUUUAGUUUAGCUUGUUCAGGAAGCUUUAGCUGAAAGUGUAGGCCACUUGAGCAUGUUAUUAUAAUACUCACUGCACAUUCCUCUCUUUUUUAUCUACGCGCUCAGGCGCGUGAGUAAUGCAUUUACACGCCAAAUAAGAAACGGAGGAAGACGAAGAAGUGGUGCGGUUUAUGAAGCGGGUUAUAGCCGCCAUCGUUAUUAUGGGAAAGACAACAAACUCAACUUCUAUUUUUGUAAAUGUAAUACCUAAUUCACGUGUAAUAUUUGUUUUUUAUGUUAAUUUUAGGUUAAAUACAUAAUUAUUUACUACUUAUUUGUAUUAGUUAUGUUUAGAUGUUAAUAUUAAUUAAAUAUAAAUAAUAUAUAAUAAAAUAAUAAUGUAAAAAAUUACAUCAUUUUCUCAACCCUGCACACAUAAAAUAAAUGAAAGAAUUCUAUGCCAAGAGAUAUGCCACGUUUGUUGUUUCUCACCUCACAACAUCACAUGUUCCACAAUUCAUUUAUCAUUUUGUCAACACACUCAUAAGAGAAAGUAGAAAAAGGCUUCACUUCACAGAUUGUUGUUCUGCUUUGUUAAACCACUUUCCAUGGCAAGCUCUCUUUCUACAACCCAUUUUUCCAAUUCUCUUCACCACCUUAGCAUUACUACAAAACCCACCACCCUCUCACUAAGUCAAAACCUUAGAAUAUGUUCCAAGAAUCUUAAUAUACUCAAACUCUCACCAACUAGAUUUAAUGUCACCACAACCUUUGCUGCUUCUUCUGCAGGCAAGUUUUUACUUACUCUUUUGUCUUUUCCCUUUGUAAAGUAAAUAACUUAAAUAAAGUUUUUUGAUGCUGCCACUUAUAGAUUUUGACUGGACUAUAAUUGGAGUUAUAGAAUUCAUCAUAUAAUGAUGAAUAUUAGAUGAUCAAAAUAGUAGAGGAAAGUUAAGGACCAAUUUUCUUAGGCUUAGAACAAUUUAAUCUAUAGAACUGAUUUUGACAAAUGUGACUUUAUGAGAAACUAGUUUUUCAAAUAAGCUUAAUUUUAGCUUUUUUAUGGCUUCUGAGUUAUUUCCAAAAGUCCAACCAAACAAGUAUGCUAGUGUCAGAAGUGAUUUUUUAGUGAAAAUAUAUUAUUUUCAAGAUGUAUUAUAGGAUAUAUUUGUCUAUAUAUAUCUUUCAGUUAUUAUAUGUCAACUUUAUUAUAUCAAGGUAUCUUUAUCAUAUCUCUUAUCUGCAAUUGUGCUUCCUAGAGAUAAUCAAGUUGGUAGAGGAAAGUUAAUUUAUUUUUUCAACAGUCCUUGUGUUAAUUGAAUGGUUAUAUUAAAUAUAAGGAUGAAGUUUCUAUGGAUUUAUGUGAGCAGGACUUGAGUCUUCUAAGUUGAGUGAGGAUAUCAAUAGUUCACUGGAUUUGGUGAAAGUGUUUGACUUGAAAGGAAAUGAGAUUCCAAUUUCUGACUUGUGGAAAGAUAGGAAAGCUGUUGUGGCAUUUGCUCGCCAUUUCGGGUGAUUUUCUCCUAUUUGAUGCACAAAUUCAGUUACUCUUAAGUUACAUCUCCUAUCUCUUGUUUGAUUUUGUUUAACAAUUAAAUGUGACCCGUGUUUCAUUACAUCAAAGGUGCGUGUUUUGCCGCAAAAGGGCUGAUUAUCUUGCAUCCAAGAAGGUAAAGUUUUCUACUUAUCUUAUACAAACAUGAACUAUUUCCUAAAAGUUGAUGCAUCAUCUGUUAUUUCUCUUUCGCUUGUUAUUUUUUGAAUUGCUAUAUGUUCUCACAAGCUUUCGCCUUAGAAUCAUUUGACUCUUGUCAGAAAUUUGAACAUUGCUUUUAGCACUCAAGUCUUCCGCGACGAUAAUUCCGGUCCUUGGUUUUAGUGUUUAGUACUUACAAGAUAUGCAUCUUAACUCAAAAUGUUUGUCCAGAUACAUGACCCGUCUUGCUUGUCCCCUUUCACAUGUUGAAUGUUUGUAUAGCUUCCUUUUGUUGUAAGCUGUACUUUACAUUGCUGCUUUUAGAUGAAGAUAUCCUCCUUUAAACCUUAGGCCUUAGCAUCAUCGGGGAUGGCCAACCCAUGAAUCUAAUUUUCUUCAAUAUAUAGCUUGCUAUGAAAGUUUUGCCAAGACUAUAUGAAUCUUAUUUCGUCUUCUGUAUUACAUGGUAAUAGUUUUAGUUGUAAAAUGGAAAGUUUUAUAUUUCACAGAGAUAUUCCUCUAAUAAAAUGGAUAUGUUAUAUCAACAGGAUAUAAUGGAUUCAUCUGGUGUCACACUUGUAAUAAUUGGACCUGGGAGCAUUGAUCAGGUAUGUUAGAAGAAUUAUAGUGAAUGUUUGUACUUUUGGUUUGGGCUUAAUUUUUUUGCUGUUCUCUGUUAUGCAUACGAUCUUCUUGGCGGGAAAGCAUAAUUCGUCCCACAAUUUGUGUCACUCUCGAUUAUGCCAAAGGAUUCUGUUUGGUUAAAAAGCUGGAUAAUUAAUUUAUAAUUUUUAGACCAAUCCUCAUCCUAUGGCACAUGAGCGGCACACAAUGUGGAACAAGUAGUGUUAUCCCCUUCUUAACAUGGUUAAUCCAAUACAAAUUCAUGUUUUCAGAACAUGCUCUCAUAAGAUAUGAUUUUGACUGGGAAAGAUUGCAAGAGAUUGCGUAUCUUCUUCAAUUGGAGUUUUUGUUUUUUGUAUUUUUUGAGUCGGGGUGCUGAAGAUCAUCUUUCUUGAUAUAUUUCUCAGCUUGCUUCCAAGUUCCAAGUAUUGAUUUUAUGCUUUCUGUUAUCAUCUGAAUAUGCUGGAAUUUCACUGUUAAUGGCAUAAUGCCUAUAUUUAAUACAGGCUAAAGCCUUUGCUGAGAAAACAAAAUUCAAAGGAGGUACUUCGCAACUAACCUAAUGCUUGUGCAAGUUUUAGUAACUUAGUCAUCUUAUGUCAACAUUUUGACAGGACCUUAUUAUCUGUUGUAGAAAUCUAUGCAGACCCGGCUCACACCUCGUAUGAGGCAUUGAAAUUUGUUUCGGGAGCUUUAACCACAUUUACCCCAAAUGUAAGCGAUAAUCGUCCAGCUCCUUUAUUCAUAAAAAGUGCAUAAAAGACGAGUGCCUGAAUGAUACCUGUUCACAAAUUGAGAUUUUUUGUUAACUGUGUGGAGGAUCUCCUACCUUAAUUUUAGCUGUUAUAUUGCAGGCUGGUCUUAAGAUAAUACAGUUAUACAUGGAAGGUUACCGACAAGAUUGGAAGCUUUCAUUUGAAAAGGAUACUGUCGAAAGAGGAGGCUGGUAUGUAAAUUAUCUCACAAGAAGUCUUACACUAUCUGGCUAUAAUGAGUUGUCAAGACUCAUCUAGUUUACACCACCAUAAAAAAGAUAAUUCAUGGUUUCAUCUUUACCUUUUAGCCCAAAUUCCUGAAGUUCUGUUUUACCAGGAAUAUAUGAUUUAGGAUAGAAGAUAAGAAUAUGUCUAGUCUAGCUACUUCUAGAAUUUAGAUGUGUCUUGGAUAUACCUUCACAUGGUAGAUAAUUAAAUUUGUAUGCGUGUCCUAUUGAUUCUGAAUCACUUUCUCCAGUCCAUUGAAGCCAGUGACACGGGACAAGAUCAUGUUUUUCUGUUUAUGAUUGGCUGAACUUCUCAUUGAGAUUAUGAACUUCGCAUUGUGGCAGGCAACAAGGAGGAAUUAUAGUUGCAGGUCCGGGUAAAAGUAACAUCUCAUACAUUCACAAGGUGUGUGUUCAUUUUUUAUAAAACAUUUUCCUUUAUAGCUUAGCUAGAAUUAGUCAUGAACCAGAACAAUAUUCAUGGCCUGUGUUACUGUUCACAUUUUUCUGAUAUGAUUAUGUGUAAUAUGAGCAGGAUAAAGAAGCCGGUGAUGACCCAGACAUCCAAGAUAUCUUAAAAGCAUGCUGCUCAUGAAGAAAGAAGUGAGGGAACCCCUCUUUUGCUGCUAUAUUUGUCUUGCUUUGUGAAGUGUGAUACUCUCAGGGGCAUUGUAUAUUGUAUCUGCUUCUUGCACUGAGAAGUAGCUUUGUCUUGAGGUUCAGUUAUAAGAUUACCUGUUAUGCAAGGCUAUGUUUUGAAAUGUAUCACUAAUAGCUACUAACUCAUGAAACUGUUGUCUGUUUCAAAAUAUUGUAUAUAAGAUUUUUACAUUUCAAGAGAAAUUGGUUCAAAAUUUAUGUUAAUCAUAUAUGCCU